UACGGGGGGAGCAAGCGUUGUUCGGAUUUACUGGGCGUAAAGGGCGCGUAGGCGGUCAGCACAAGUCAGUUGUGAAAUCUCCGGGCUUAACUCGGAAAGGUCAACUGAUACUGUGCGACUAGAGUGCAGAAGGGGCAACUGGAAUUCUUGGUGUAGCGGUGAAAUGCGUAGAUAUCAAGAGGAACACCUGCGGCGAAGGCGGGUUGCUGGGCUGACACGUGACGCUGAAGCGCGAAAGCCAGGGGAGCGA
rnacentral:rRNA from 1 species